rnacentral:misc_RNA from 1 species
GAGAAGUGAGAUUCUGCAAUCCAUGUGGCAAAGAAUGGAGCUCCAUACACCAACGAACAGCCAAUGACUUCAGACUUUUGAGUUCUGCUAAACUCGGGGAGAUGGAGCAAAGCUUAGGACAGGAACUAAUCACUAGAGACAUUAGAAGAGUAUUGCUUUGAAGCAAGCUCUCCAAAAAAACCAACUCAGCAAAUUCAUCAAUGACUAGAAUAGUGAGGGAGGUUAGGUUUGAUGCCGACUCUAGUACCAUAUUAUCACAACUGCAUAGUUCUAGAUGUUGAAGAAAUGGGACAUACGGCAUGUUCCUCAGCUUAUAACAUUUAUUGAUGAUCAAUUUGGCAAGAGAGGGGAAGUCUUCUCUCCGAUUAAAGCUCCACCAGGUUUCUAAAAUAGGGAAAUCCAUGAGGGUUAGCUCUUCCAAUGAUGGGAAUGCUUUCUCAGUUUGACCAUAGAACUGACUGCCAAUACUCUUCACAGCAUGCAUUCCUUGUAAGUAAAGGACCUUGAGGAAGGGAAGUUGACCCAGUGUAGGGAGAUCUUUACAUCUUCUGCAGUUAAUCAAGACAAGCUUGGUUAGAUUUGGGAGUUUACAAAAUGCCAUCCAUCCAGGAAAAUGCAUUCCUUGGUACUCUUUUAUAGACAACUUCUUUAGAUAUUUAUGUGGCUGGAGAUAAUUGAGCACUUGUUCUACUCUGCCAUCAUUAGCACUGCUCAUAAUGCCAUGAUCAUUUUCCCAAGAUAAAGCCAGUGACUGGAGGUUUCUCUUCCCUAUUAAGUCAGCUUUAAUUGCUUCUGCUGCCUCCAUUACAUUCUCCAAGCAUCUAAUAGUUAGUUUCCCUCCAAGGUUCAAAUUUUUCAGCUCACUAAUGCUUUCGCCUAUCUCCCUUCCCACAAUAAACAUAGACAAUGUUCGGAGAUAUACAAGUUUUCCAAUCAAUGCUGGUAUUUUGCUGAGCCUGUCACAACCAUUUAAGAUUAAAUGCCUUAGCUUAGAUAUCCUGGUCAAGCCACUUGGCAACUCAUUGAGAUCAUAGCAACCAGAAAGGUUCAUCACUUGUAAAUUUUGAAGGCUGCAAACACUUUCUGGUAAGUUUUUAACAUGGGUGUUAGAGAUGUCCAGGUACCUCAAAAAUAUGAAAGAGGAAAUUGAUGCACUGAGCUUUUUGAUGCCGCUACUACUUAAAUCAAGGACUCGCAAAUAUCUGAAAUUUGAAAAUACAUUAGGAGGCACCUCUCCAAGGUCUCCUUUUGGUAACAAUAAAAUGAGGGUCCGUAACUUCUUUGCUUCAUACAGAGAUUCUGGAAUUGUAUGCAAGCUGAAAUUACAGAUCACCGAAGAGUGGCGGAUUUGGGAGAAAUUUUGCAGCAUUCUGUCAUUUUCCACCCUUAAAUAUUCAUUCCCAGCAAUAGACUGUGCGAGAUCAUGAAUGAGACCAUGCAUUUUGCACUCAAGAAUAGUGCCAUUGUCACUUCUGUGUAUAUCUUGGAAGAAACACAUCCACACUAAAUCAUCAAAGUACUCAUUUCCAAUAAACUCAAGUGUUUUUCUUCCUUCAAGUGAUUGAAUCAAGCCCGCUGCUAUCCAAAGCUGGAUUAGCUUUUCCUUCUUGAUUAUGUAAUUUCGAGGAAAUAUUGAGCAAUAGGCAAAGCAUGCCUUCAAAUGGGAAGGCAAAUGAUUGUAACUCAACUUUAGGGCAGCCAGAAUGCCACUUUCAUUUUGACUUAGAUCCCAGAGAUCACUAUCCUGCACGAGAAGCCAUUCUCUUUCAUCUCCUUUGAAGCGCAUCAGGCCUCCUAUGGUCCUUGCAGCCAAAGGUACACCUUCACACUUCUUCACUAUUUGCUUACCAAUUGAGAACAGCCUUCUAUGCUUGUCUGCAUCACGACCAAAAGCUCGUUUCUCGAACAAAGCCCAACAGUCCUUAUCAGACAGACCUUGCAAAUAAUGAAUGUAACUAGUUCCCAUUAUUAAUGCAACCUUUUCGCUCCGAGUAGUGACAAUGACUGUACUCCCCUCCACGCCACCUUUUAAUGAUGUCCUUAGUUUAUCCCACUCAUUAUCAUCCUCAUUCCACACAUCAUCCAGCACAAGCAAGUACCUCUUCCCAAUCAAUAAUUCCUGGAGCCGAAAUUGUAGUGCAUCCAUUUCAGUGAAGUCACCCCUAACGUUAGAGGCGGAUUCGAGGAUAGACAUCAUAAUCCUUUCCACAUCAAAUUCAUCAUUGAUACAUGCCCACAUCUUUAGAUUAAAAUGCCUCGCUAUCCUCUCAUCAUUGUAAACUAAUUGGGCAAGCGUAGUUUUACCAAGACCACCUAAACCAACAAUGGACACGACCGAAAUGUCACCUGGAGACAUAUUUUCAGCAGAGAGUAAAAGCUUCACUAUCUUCUCUUUAUCCUCUAAUCUUCCAUGAAUUUCUGAUUCAACAACAGAAGACCCCGUCCGCCUUCUUCUGUUACUUGGUCUUGCUACUUGCUCUCUCAAAUGAAAGUUAGAUCUCUCUUCAACCAACAAUUCUAAGGUUUCCCCGAUCUGGGUUAUUCUAGGAAACAUGUCCAAUUGAUUCACGAAUUGCCCCAAGGACGGGUGCAAAUUGCGUACCUGCUCAAUGAACCCGUUGCGGCUUACACAAUGAAUGGCUUCUGGAGAGAACUCGUCGAGAAAGUCUUCCACAUCGUAAGCAACGCGUUUAAGCUCUUCCAACCAAUUCCUGAAAGCUCUACCGGUCAAUUGCUGCUCCUCUGCAUCUUCCAGGACUGCUCGAAUGGCCCGUAACUUAUGGCAGAGCUUGGUGACUUCCCUCCGAAGGCCAAAUAGAUUGGCAAUCUCGUCGAGUAAUGGGGUGCUUAAUUUGUGGAAAACCACUUGGAGAAGCGGAGAUAGAACUAUAUCUGCCAUGUUGAAGGCAAAAGAACUUGUCUUCCUAAAAAUUAAUCCUUGAUUAACUAGUCUCCAAUGUCCAUCACUCAGUGUUUGAUAAUCUUCGUCUGCGUAUUUUCCUUCAGCUUACAAAGGAAAGAACCAGGAAAUGAGAAUGGAAAUUAGUCACACAGAGUUCGGCGAGCUUCACUCUCCUCCAAUCUGCCAAUCGAAUUGGAC